rnacentral:misc_RNA from 1 species
AGCAACAAUUAGCUUCCCUUGGUAAGAUUUCUCUGUCAAAAUUGCUUGCUUUGUUGAAUUUUCAUAGAACAUGAAGAAUUUUAGUUGAAUCAGAUUGAACUAGCUAUAGCUUGUUGGAAAUGUUAUUGAUUAGGAGAUUUUCCUGUGUGCAUAAAAUACAAUUUUGUAAAGCAUUACGAUUCAUCUUUUCUAUUGUCAAUUGAUUGGCUUGCUAAUGUCAAAUAGAUGGCCUGUUUUUUUGUUAAAUAUGAACACUGCAAUUCGAACAUGCCAGGAUAUGCAGGAACUCUUCCCUUUCAAAAACUCAGAGGCAAACUUACUUCAAUAGAAUAAAAAAUCUGCUAGAUUGGUUGAACUGAUAUUUCAAGGUAGAAUAAACAGUUGAUGCUAAAUGGGAAGUGAUUGUUUAGGAAUACAUCCUUUUGUCAAAUUCAAAGUAUAUUUCACUAGACAUGGUUAACCCUAGUGAACCAUUAAUUGCAUGAAAACCCUAACGGGUAGCCAUAGUGACAAUCAUAUUCACAUAUAAAUAUACAUAUAUAUUAUCAUAAUUACACAUCUAUAAU